rnacentral:tRNA from 1 species
GCGUCCAUAGCUCAGUUGGUAGAGCAGUUGCCUCUUAAGCAAACGGUCGAAGGUUCAAAUCCUUCUGGACGCA